GCUUCAUAAAGCAUAGCAUUGUAUCUUUGCACCAUAAGCAAUUCCGCAUCUUUCUCCUUUUGAAUAGAUUCUAAUCGCAUCAGGUCUGUCUUCAAUGAAUUUGAGUGAUGCUUGUCGUGGGAUAUUUCUUCAUGUAUGGUUUUUAAUAUUUCAGAUAAACGAGCAGCUUCUUCAUGCAAUAAAUGUGAGUGCCUGUUUAGCUUUUGGUUGAUAGAACCAAUU
rnacentral:misc_RNA from 1 species